AACAUGAGAAGAAAGAACUCAUAUUUUCAGUGACCUCUAAGAAUCUCUAAUAUUUUGGGAAGGUUCUGCUUGAAACAAUGAUUGAUAUUAGAGAUAAUGCAUGUUUGAUUUGCCCUAGGAGCAGGAAAUCCUUUUUAAAGCCCAGUUCCUCGAGGAUAUCUGGCUUAAAGUGAAUGAAUCGCUGCUUCUGAGAAAAUGCACUGUGUGCAGAAUCCUUUGUCAUGGGAGAAACACAGGAAGCACAAUACUGCAACAUCUGCAACUGCUCUGCCCUGCUGGGAUUGAACUCUAAUUUUCUACAUAAUAACGGAGAUGAAUAUCCCUUAAAGAUGCAAAUGUAGGACAGGUCUUCACAGAAAACAGUUUUCAAGUACAAUGAUGGGAUACAGAUCAGAACUUGGAGCAUAAACAAGAUCUCACAGCCUCUACAACAGAACUCUGCAUCUGAAAGUGAAGAGGGAAUUAAUUCUGUAUGAAACUGCUGUGUGGUCCUUAAAGGAUGUUCUCUGUUUCGUGGAUUGAUUCUGCUGCUGGGGAACUCAAAGAAAAAAAAAUUCAGUGCCUGGUAAAGUUAUGGAGAAGAUUAUUCUGGAAGGUAUUGAAAAACACAUGAAAGGCAACGCAGUCACUGGUCACAGGCAGCACGGUUUCAGGAGAGGAAAGUCCUCCUUAUCAAACCUGAUUUCCUUCU